UACGAAGGGGGCGAGCGUUGUUCGGAAUUACUGGGCGUAAAGGGCGCGUAGGCGGCGAUCCUAGUCAGAUGUGAAAGUCCUGGGCUUAACCUGGGGACUGCAUUUGAUACUGGAUUGCUUGAAUUCGGGAGAGGAUAGCGGAAUUCCCAGUGUAGAGGUGAAAUUCGUAGAUAUUGGGAAGAACACCGGUGGCGAAGGCGGCUAUCUGGACCGACAUUGACGCUGAGG
rnacentral:rRNA from 1 species